CACGUAGAGGCCAAGCGUUGUCCGGAUUUAUUGGGCGUAAAGAGCUCGUAGGCGGCUCGGUAAGUCAGGUGUGAAACCUCCAGGCUCAACCUGGAGACGCCACCUGAUACUGCUGUGGCUAGAGUCCGGUAGGGGAGCGUGGAAUUCCUGGUGUAGCGGUGAAAUGCGCAGAUAUCAGGAGGAACACCAGCGGCGAAGGCGGCGCUCUGGGCCGGAACUGACGCUGAGGAGCGAAAGCGUGGGUAGCAAACAGG
rnacentral:rRNA from 1 species